UACAGAGGUCUCAAGCGUUGUUCGGGUUCAUUGGGCGUAAAGGGUGCGUAGGUGGCGCCGUAAGUCGGGUGUGAAAUUUCGGAGCUUAACUCCGAAACUGCAUUCGAUACUGCGGUGCUUGAGGACUGGAGAGGAGACUGGAAUUCAUGGUGUAGCAGUGAAAUGCGUAGAGAUCAUGAGGAAGACCAGUGGCGAAGGCGGGUCUCUGGACAGUUCCUGACACUGAGGCACGAAGGCCAGGGGAGCAAACGGG
rnacentral:rRNA from 1 species